GAUGAACGCUGGCGGCGUGCCUAAUACAUGCAAGUCGAGCGAAUGGAUUAAGAGCUUGCUCUUAUGAAGUUAGCGGCGGACGGGUGAGUAACACGUGGGUAACCUGCCCAUAAGACUGGGAUAACUCCGGGAAACCGGGGCUAAUACCGGAUAACAUUUUGAACCGCAUGGUUCGAAAUUGAACGGCGGCUUCGGCUGUCCCUUAUGGAUGGACCCGCGUCGCAUUAGCUAGUUGGUGAGGUAACGGCUCACCACGGCAACGAUGCGUAGCCGACCUGAGAGUGUGAUCGGCCACACUGGGACUGAGACACGGCCCAGACUCCUACGGGAGGCAGCAGUAGGGAAUCUUCCGCAAUGGACGAAAGUCUGACGGAGCAACGCGGCGUGAGUGAUGAAGGCUUUCGGGUCGUAAAACUCUGUUGUUAGGGAAGAACAAGGGCUAGUUGAACAAGCUGGCACCUUGACGGUACCUAACCAGAAAGCCACGGCUAACUACGUGCCAGCAGCCGCAGUAA
rnacentral:rRNA from 1 species